AAAGAUCAAUCAUCACCCAAGCAUUCAGCCUGCAAAUUCUUCAUAUUAAUAUGUUAAUUAGAAUAAUAGAAGAGACAGUUCGAAGAGGCAGUUAUAUUAAUUUUGAGCAUGUAUAUAAAGUUAAAUUAAUCAAGGAUUGUAAACAAGUUUUAAACUUAUAAGAGUUUCCUGUCAACGAUUUUUGUAGUAUGCAAACAAGUGCAUAUAAUAAGAAAGAAACCUCUCAAGUUUUUGACGCUCCAGACACAUGCUUCCGCCUGACGGUAGCUUGCGUAGCAGGCGUUUAGUAAAGGGCGUCGUUUGAGGAAACUCCUGCCCAAAUAGCUAUGACAAAUUAGUUUUCGCCCAUUAAGGAUGAUUGACGUUUUGUAGUUAGCACCGUCACCCAUUAUCCAAU